rnacentral:tRNA from 1 species
CGAGGUGUAGCGCAGUUUGGUAGCGCGCUUGCUUUGGGAGCAAGAUGUCGGGGGUUCAAAUCCCUUCACCUCGA